rnacentral:rRNA from 1 species
AGCUCCAAUAGCGUAUACUAAAGUUGUUGCGGUUAAAAAGCUCGUAGUUGGAUCUCGGGCUUGAACUUGCGGUCCACUUCACAGUGGCUACUGCUUGUUCGGGCCUACCUGCCGGUCUUCCGUCGAUGCUCUUCAUUGCGUGUCGGCGCGAAUCCGGUACGUUUACUUUGAAAAAAUUAGAGUGUUCAAAGCAGGCAGUCUUGUCUGAAUAAUGUUGCAUGGAAUAAUAGAAUAGGACCUCGGUUCUAUUUUGUUGGUUUUCGGAGCUUGAGGUAAUGAUUAAGAGGGACGGACGGGGGCAUUCGUAUUGCACCGUUAGAGGUGAAAUUCUUGGAUCGGUGCAAGACGAACAACUGCGAAAGCAUUUGCCAAGAAUGUCUUCAUUAAUCAAGAACGAAAG